UGAAGGUCUUCAGGAUCAGUCACUCAUUUGUGAAUUGGGCAGCAUCACAUCUAGCAAGUUAAGGGAAGCAACAAAGAGCUACAGAAAGGCUUGUCUCUUGGCUAAGGAAGACCCUGAUGGCAAGCGUUCCCAGAUGAGAACCAAAACGACCCCUUCAAGCAAUAAAGAGUGCCCUGGACAGCAAGACCCCACCCGUGAGUGACUCCAUGACAAUGAUCUACUUGACUCACUGACUCCCUGCAUGUACCCACCCACCUUUGCUGACAUUUUUCUUAUAUAAACCUAGAAGUGUUUUCACCA